rnacentral:rRNA from 1 species
GACGAACGCUGGCGGCGUGCCUAAUACAUGCAAGUUGAGCGCUGAAGGUUGGUACUUGUACCAACUGGAUGAGCAGCGAACGGGUGAGUAACGCGUGGGGAAUCUGCCUUUGAGCAGGGGACAACAUUUGGAAACGAAUGCUAAUACCGCAUAAAAACUUUAAACACAAGUUUUAAGUUUGAAAGAUGCAAUUGCAUCACUCAAAGAUGAUCCCGCGUUGUAUUAGCUAGUUGGUGAGGUAAAGGCUCACCAAGGCGAUGAUACAUAGCCGACCUGAGAGGGUGAUCGGCCACAUUGGGACUGAGACACGGCCCAAACGCCUACGGGAGGCAGCAGUAGGGAAUCUUCGGCAAUGGACGAAAGUCUGACCGAGCAACGCCGCGUGAGUGAAGAAGGGUUUCGGAUCGUAAAACUCUGUUGGUAGAGAAGAACGUUGGUGAGAGUGGAAAGCUCAUCAAGUGACGGUAACUACCCAGAAAGGGACGGCUAACUACGUG